GAAUGAUGAAGGCCUUAGGGUUGUAAAAUUCUUUCGCUAGGGAUGAUAAUGACAGUACCUAGUAAAGAAGCCCCGGCUAACUUCGUGCCAGCAGCCGCGGUAAUACGAAGGGAGCAAGCGUUGUUCGGAAUUACUGGGCGUAAAGCGUACGUAGGCGGAUCAGAAAGUAGGGGGUGAAAUCCCGAGGCUCAACCUCGGAACUGCCUCCUAAACUCCUGGUCUUGAGUUCGAGAGAGGUGAGUGGAAUUCCAAGUGUAGAGGUGAAAUUCUUAGAUAUU
rnacentral:rRNA from 11 species